rnacentral:lncRNA from 1 species
GACAAGAAGAGGCUGGCCACCAGUGGAGCCAACUUUGCGCGCGCCUACACCGUGGAGUUCGGCAGCUGCCAGUUCCCCUACAACUUCACUGGGUGCCAGGACCUCGCCAAGCAGAAGGUUCAUUCUCUCAUCAUCACACACAUAUAUAACAAACCUCACCGCGCGGCCUGCUGACAAUAAUCUGAACUGGUUUCUUCUCAUCCUGUGCCGUGUCGUCCGUGCUUCAUUGUGCUCUUGCAGAAAGUCCCCUUCAUCAGCGACGACCUCGAGAUUGAGUGCGAGGGGAAGGAGAAGUUCAAGUGCGGCUCCAACGUUUUCUGGAAGUGGUGAAGCAGCUAGCAGCAGCGUCUGAUGGGAAUGGAGGAGAUCAUCACCUGUCUUGUCGACCCUAGAUAUGUCCAAACUGCAGGGAAAUUAAAUCUUCAUGUGUAAUUGUGCUCAUUCUGUUUCAAUCAUCUCAACAUCCGAUCAUGAACCUCUUGCAUUAUUAACUGGCUCGAUCGUCUUCUCAGUUUAAGACAUUGGAGGCUGCUUUGUUUGUUUCAGAGGUCCUUCUUAAGAUGAUGCUAUAUUUUGUCAUGGUUAAUGUGAUAAACAGGGUCAGGUCGGAUUAUUCUUGAAUAUAUAAAAUAGAAUUUUAGGCUCUAGCAAACCAGUAUAUGAGCAAAAGAAAAUUUGGAAACAAGAAAGUACCUAGAUGUAAAAAAAUAUGAACAAUAAGAAGAGAAUAAUAACAGUAGUAGUCUAUACCACUAGAUAAUCCAACAGUUUAAACAUUACAAAACUCACCUAACCAAAUCAUCCACACACCAAUAACCUCCACAAACAAAUUGCACCCAGACUUAACAUACCAUUAAAACCAAAGGUUCAGAUCUUCCAUUACUUACUCAAAUCCAAUAACAAUAUUAUUUACAUCAUCUCUCAUCCACCCCCUCUCCCUCCGACUCACUCGUGCCGCCACCACCGUCAACCCCGCCCCUCAUGUCGUCGUCGUCAUCGUCGACCCUUCCCCUCCUCGGGGUCAUAGCCGUAGUGAGAUUGCGUAUAAUGUGUGAGAUGCAUUGCAUUGAGCUUUUAGGGAGAAUAUAGAAGUACAUAACUUGGAGGGCAAGAAGUCUAUCCUAAAGAUGACAAAGGUUAUCCUAGAGAUAAGAAAGGUUAUUCCGAGAUUACAAUCAAUCCAAUCAACCUUAACCAACCAUAUCAGAUUUUGCCUAAUAUCACUACCGGAAUUGGCCGCUUUGCCGAGUGCCUGAAGCACUCGGCAAAGUCUAAAAAACACUCGGCAAAGUCUUUGCCGAGUGUCGCACUCGGCAAAGUCUAUGCCGAGUGUCGCACUCGGCAAAGAGGGCUCGAUGAACAGUGCAUCGGCAAAGACUUCUUUGCCGAGUACUUUUUCUCGGGCACUCUUGCCGAGUGCCAGAAGGUACUCGGCACAGACUUUGCCGAGUGCCAGAAGGUACUCGGCAAAGAAAAGCCGCCGUCACGGUGCCGGGGUGAUGGAGACGUCGUCUUUGCUGAGUGUCUCCUAAUGCACUCGGCAAGCAAGUUCCUCUUUGCCGAGUGUCUGCCGGCUAGCACUCGGCACAGAAUCCAUCAGGGGUCCCUUUGUCAGGUUCUUUGUCGAGUGCUCUGUAUGGCACUCGGCAAAGCGUGCCUCUGUGCCGAGUGCCAGGGCCACUACACUCGGCAAUGAACCUAUACCGGUGCCUAGGUCUUGGUUCUUUGCCGAGUGCUAUGGCCAUGACACUCGGCAAACCCCCUCUUUGCCGAGUCUAACACUCGGCAAAGUGACCAGUACACACCUUUUUAUUUGUUUUUUCUAUUCCAUCCAAACAAACAAAAGAUACAUCACAUAUAUUAUCACAUAUAUCACAUAUAUACAUCAUAGAUAUCAUCACAAACAUAAAAUAUCUAACACAAACAUUAAUAUACAAGUUCUCAACACAAACAUAAGUAUCAACACAAGUCCAGAAGUAUAAAAACAUAAUUUUCAAGCUCUAACAUAAGUAUUCAACACAAGUUCUGAAGUCUGAACACUAAAAACAUAGCUCUCAUCGAGGUGGGCUGUUAGACUGGUGCUACGAUGGGCUGGGCUGUUCAUGAGGGUUGUUGGAUGCCGCCCCAGAUUGGCCUUACACAGAGAAGACAUUGCAUGUUUUAUACCAGAUGCAUUACCAACAUCUAACUACAAUUUUGAUACUCACAGGAGUAUGAAACAAAGUAGGGUCAAUUGUAGGGAACAAUGGAGGUGGUGGAGCGAAACUCUGUGCAGCGCCAAGGCUCUGCAUGUAUUGGAACAUCUCCGCCAUUCUCUGCUAAUCUGCCAGGCGAGCCGCCCGCUCCGCCUCCCGCUCCACCAUCAUCCUUGCCUCCAUCUCGUGACGUUCCCUCCUCUCUUCCUCUAGCUGGGUCUAUAAUAUUACAAGCCAAUGUUAUAGUAACUCAAAGAGAAGGUAUAUAACUCAAGUAAUGACGAGUUACAGAAGCACUAACCUCCAGUUGUUGUAUGCGAUGCUGUGAGCUAUCGUGCCGAGGUCGUGUGGCUGGACUCGAGCCCGUGCUCCUUGCUCGCACCUGAGACAAAGUGGGAGUGGAGGACGAGUCGAUUGCCCCAUCGGCAAUCCAGUACCGCCUCUGUCUCUUGCCUCCUUCGACCCUCAUGAGCACAUCGAGGUCGAUCUCCUUGGUCCUCGGAUCGUAUUCUAGGCCAUGGACCUCCUGCGCCAUGGCGAUAUAGUCAUGAAGGCGACUGUAGACGGCGGGGUUGCUCUACGCCUCGGGCCCGUCAUCCGGGUUGUAGGUGACGUCGGACGUCGCCUUGCCCUUAUGGGCCAUAGCAUAGGCCGAGAAGAUGGAGCAAGGCUGGCCACCAUGUGACGCCGACUUCAAAAAAACCAACGAUAUAGUUAGAAAUAAUAUCUAAUCCAGUGUUAUAUACCUAAAUAAAAAGAGGGCGUACCCAUGCUUCUGCAUAUUUGUCGAGGCUGCGGCUGCCUUGGUGGUGCGAGGGACCUUGCAUCAUUAGACGUCAUUCCCGGCUAGCGUUGUGUGCCUCGUCCCACUCAGUCGAGCACCACCUAUCCACCAUCUGCUCCCAGCACAGAGGAUGUGCGGCGCACCAAUAUGGAAUCAUCUACAAAGUAAACACGUAAACUGCAUAUUAGAAGAUAAAAUUAAAUUCAUGCAUGGAGUACUGGUACCAAACAUGAAUGACUUUACAUGCAGGUACUGGUCCCUGGUCAACGACAUGGUUUGGGCUUGCUGCUUGGUCACCUUCUCCCUAAGGACGGACCGUGGUAGCUGACGAUGGCCUGGAUUUGGGCCUCAUAGUGCAUGUCCACGACGAGCUUCUUACAGUUCGUGGUGGCCACCACAUCCGCCCUAGCCUCGUAUCCAGUCUCGCAUCUGUAGUAAUUCUGCAUACAAAAACGAUGUAUCCAUACAUUAUUUCAAGAAUGUGCAAUGAAUGCAACAUAUUUUACAUUACACUAAAACUUACCCACAGCUCUUGCUUCACCCACUCCGGCUUGUUUUUGAAUUCUCGACCGUCCCGGUCUACUGCAUUGGGUGCGAUGGCGUAGUGGUCGAAGGUGUAGGCUGGGCCCAUCACUCCGGCGUACUCAACCAGUCUAGGGAAGUGUUCCCUGCAUAGCAGGCUGAGGAUGCCAUUGGGGUUGUGACGAUGACCCCCAGCAUUCUCCACAACCGCCCAAGACCUGUCCAAGUGAUAAAUAAAAAGUAUUAGUUUAUAUUAUGAUUUUGAACACAUAAUAUGAACAAGAAUGAAGAACAUAAAGUUUCAUGCCUCUCCCCAUCUGGCCGAAUCAGUGGCCGCCUGUCCCGAAGUUUUGACGCUGAGGGAGACUCACGGGACCUCGCAGGUAGACGCUCCUCGAGCCUCAGGUGCAAGAACCUGAGGCGUCCUGCUGAGCUUCGUCGUCGUCCUGCUGCUGGUCGUGGUCGUCCUGCUGCGCCGCCUGGUGCUGGACAAGGUCGUCCUGCUGCGCCGCCUGUUGUGCCUCGUCCUGCUCUGCCUCGUCCGUCGUCCUGCUCCUCCUCCCCCUCCGCCUCCUCAGCCAACCGCCCACCAUCUUUGUCCAACAACCUGCAAUUAAGAGUAAACAAAUAAGCACAUAUAAAAAGAUGUAUUUAAAAAUAGGUGCGAAAUAAAAAGUCAUAUAGCAUUAAAUCGAUUAAAAAUAAUCUUCAUAUGUGUCGGGGUUAGCCGGAUCAUAACUCUCAUCAUCACUAUCAACCACUUCAUAGCCAACACCAUCUGAAGGCGCAAGUUCGUCAUUAAUGUCAUUGCCUUCAAGGAUUACUAAGUCAUUCUUAUUUUGCACCUCAUCCUCCUCCUCAUCAACAACCAUUUCAAUAUCUACGUCUAUUCCGAUAGCUUCGGUUAAGUCUAUCUCAAAUUGCCCUUCUAGCCCAUCUUCUUGGAAGAACUCUCCAUCAUAUGUGUCCGAGUCUAAGUUAUAAUCUUCAUCGUUAGGAACAAGUAAUCUCCCAUGCGGUGAUACCUUAUACACAACAUCCCAACCCUUAAGAUGUUCUUUCGUUUGACACGCAUAUGGGAGAUAAUACACUUGUGUGGCCUAUUGGGCCACGAUAUAGACAUCGUCUCCUGGUAAGGUGGAAUCUUGUCGAAUUUCGACUAUCCCAAGAUUAGAAUGUGUCCGUCUCGUCACUUGAGGGUCAAACCAAUGACAUUUGAAUAUCACUGGAGUAAGAGGUUUGGAACCAUAAAAAUUAAGUUCAUAUAUUUCUUCGAUUCGUCCAAAAUAAUCGACAUCAUCAAGGCCGGGCGUAAAGACUCCAGAACACGUUGUUUUCCGAUUGGGCCGACUUUGGUUGUAGUUUGUUGUGCGAAAACGGUAUCCAUUGACGUCAUACCCAGAAUAUUUCUUGACCCUAUAAGCAAAGCCGUUGGCUACUUGUCUCAACUCGGCACUCAUAGACGGAUCUCUUUGGCCCUGCAAGUAUUCGCAAGUUAAAAGACACUAAAUUGAGUUCAUAGACGGAUCUCUUUGACAAACUAAGCACGUACCUUACGUUUGAACCAGGAAAUGAAAUCGAGCAAUCCAUUUCUCGCACCCUUUCUAAGAAGAGUAUCAUAUUCCUGUGGAGUUAGGUCCCUUGAUCGACGCCAGAAUUCAUGAAGAAAUUGUUCCAUGUAUGGCGUCACCUCUUCAAGGUUGGUCAAUACAUAUAGCAUGAUAUACCGCCACUCUUCAUGUGUCAGGGUCUUGGUGGUCGAGCCACUUGCGCUUUCGAGUUGGCCUCGAAAUAUGCUGAGGUUCGAUUCAUUAUCACCAUCAUUGUAACGAGGGGGUGGGUUAUGCACGCUUGGUAGUUUGUCACCAUAGUAAGUUGUUGUGAAGUUUGACACCUCCUCUUGAAUGUAUGCCUCUGCAAUGGAAGCCUCGAUUUUGCAUUUAUUUCUACAUUUCUUUUGAAUAGUCUUUAGACAUCUCUCGAUUUGAUAGCACCAACGUCCCUGCACGUGCCCCCCAUUCGUGCCUCAUAGGGGAGAUGAAGAAUCAAAUGCUGCAUUGGAUUGAAGAAGUCGGGGUGGAAAUAUAUUCUCAAGCUUACACAGUAACACGGGUGCCAAUCUUUCCAAGUCUGCAACCAUAGUCCGAGAUAACUCUUUUGCACAAAGCUGAUGGAAGAAAUAGCUCAACUCUGAAAGCGCUAGCCAGACAUGCUCAGGGACAUAACCUCGAACCAUCACAGGAAGAAUCCGUUCAAUCCAUAUGUGGAAGUCAUGACUCUUCAUCCCUAAGACUCGCAGAGUAGAUAAGUUCACCCCCUACCCAGGUUAGCUACAUACCCAUCAAGGAACAUCAACAUCUUGAUCCACUGAAGUACUUCCUUCCUCUGGGCCCUGCUUAGGACAAAAUUGGCCUUAGGCCUUCUCCAUGUCUUUCCACCACUUGGCGGCUUCAUCUCUUGGUUUGGUCUAUCACAUAACGCUGCCAGAUCCACUCUUGCCUUUAUGUUAUCCUUUGACUUAUCAGGAAUGUCCAUAAUUGUUGCCCAAAGUGCCUCGGCAACAUUCUUUUUAGUGUGCAUCGCGUCAAUGUUGUGUGGAAGGAGCAGGUCGUCAUAAUAGGGGAGCCGAGUCAAGCCCGACUUAUGUGUCCACAUAUGCUGCUCACCAUAUCCCAUAAAACCACCUUCUGUAUUGGCCACGAGCCCAUCUAUCUGUUGAUGAAUUUUGGCACCAGUGAUCGUUGCAGGUGGGCGGUCUGUCACUACGACACCUUUCGUAAAGUUCUUGAUGUCUAGGCGGAAUGGAUGGUCAGGAGGGAGAAAUUGUCGAUGUUUAUCGAAGGACGAAUAUUUGCCACCCUUUUUCAACCAAAUGAACCUUAGAGCUUCCUUGCAAACUGGGCAUGGGAACUUACCAUGAACACACUAGGCGCAGAAUAGCCCAUACGCCGGUAAGUCAUGCAUAGAGUACUGGUACCAAACAUGCAUUCUGAAGUUUGUCUUCGUGGCUCGGUCAUACGUCCAUACCCCUUCCUCCCAGGCACGUACCAAUUCAUCGAUCAAAGGCUCCAUGUACACGCCCAUUUUAUUCCCCGGGUGUCCGGGAAUUAUCAACGACACGAAUAUAUUCUGCCUUUGAAAGGACACACCGGGGGGAGAUUGAUUGGGAUAACAAACACGAGCCAACAUGUGUACGGGCAGCGCUCAUUCCAUAGGGAUUGAACCCAUCUGUGGCCAGCGCAACACGUACAUUACGAGCCUCUUCGGCUUUCUCACGGUGAAUGGCAUCAAAGCGUUUCCAUGCUUCACCAUCGGAUGCGUGCACCAUCUUGUCAGGAUUGUAUCGUUUUCCAUUUUUGUGCCAUGUCAUCUGUUUCGCGGAUUCCUCGGUCAUGUAUAGACGCUGGAUCUGCGGUAUGAACGGAAGAUGCCGUAGGAUUGUCAAGGGGAUGUCGAGCUGCCUCUUCUGUCCAUCACCAGAGUCUAGCUCCAUGAACAUAGACGAUUUACACUUGGGAUAGUACUUUGCCUUCGCGUAUUCUUUCUUAAAUAGCACGCAGCCCUUCAGACAAGCAUGUAUCUGCUCAUACGUCAUCUUGAGUGCACGAAGGAGUUUAUGUGCCUCGUACAUGCUCUUUGGCAGAACGUGAUCCUUCGGAAGCAGGCUCCCAAUAACCGUUAACAAGCCAUCGAAUGCGUCUCGACUCAUGUUGUACUACGACUUGAACGCCAUUACACACCCAAUGGCAUCCAGUUGAGAAACCUUUGUCUGGCCGUGAAGGAGCUUUUGUGCCACGUCAAACAUGUCAUAGAAUGCCUUUGCAGUCGGCUCUGGCUCGUCAUCCGUACAUCCACCGACGUACUGUGCCUCCUAAUAGUCGUUCAACAUAUCCGCUACCCUCACAUCGGCAUCAUAAUCCUCGACGCGUUGUCUCAGCACCUCCUCUCUCGUACGAUGCACUUCACCAUGAAAGAUACACCGAGUAUAGUCCGGCAUAAAUCCAUUCUUCUAAAUAUGUUCUACCAUGGCCUUCAUUGAUUUUCUCUUCUGUUUGGCACAUUUGCUGCACAGGCAUGGGACUAGACUCGCUCCUUUAGCAGCUUCGCCAUAUGCCCGUUCCACGAAAUCAUCGGUCUUUCUAAUCCAUUCAGGGGUGACAUCGUUCCUUCCUCUACGGCCCAUGUACAUCCACUCACGGUCCUCCAUCCUCUAACAGAAGCCUAUCAAUAGAAAAUUUUGGCAACACCUCCGCUGCACGGGGAGGUUUCGAAAUCCUACAUAUAAAAGUAUCAGCACGAUGGCUGACAUCCAUGUAUAAUUCAACGGCACGAUGGCCGACAAUCACAUCUAUAUAUAUUCAAUCCAUGAGAGAUAACACAACAAAACUGCAUUUACAUGGAAACUACAUUUACAUGAUUUACAUAUUUCAUUCACAAAUUCUCAAUGAGACUAUAGCCUAACUUACAUGAUUUACAUCCUAUCAUUCACAGAUUUACAUUAUUUACAUCCUAUCAUUCACAAAUUUACAUGAUUUACAUCCUAUCAUCUAAUCAAUAAUAAAUACAAAGUGACACGUAAUAAAUACAAAUCUAAAUCAUGAACAAAUUCAUACCUAGUGGAGAUCGUCGAGGACGGGCGUGAGUCGCGUGGGGGCGGCGGUUGGGCCGCGCGGGUUAGGGCGGUGCGGGUCAGGGCGGUGCCGGCGGGGGGUGGUGCGCGUGGCGGUGCCAGCGGGGAGCCGGCGAGGGGUGGUGCGUGUGGCGGGGCCAGGCGGCGGUGGUGGCUGGGCGGGGAGGCGGGGCGUGGGGAGGCGGGCUCCGACGGCAGAGGCAGUGGGCGCGGGGAGGCGCGGCGGUGGUGGCCGGGUCAUGGGGAGGCAGCGGUGGGGAGGCGGGGCGUGGGGAGGCGCGGUCGUAGGGAGGCGGUGACAGGUGAGGAUGGGCGGGUCGCCGGUGGGGAGGCGGCGGCGGUGAGGACGGGUGAGUGAGAGUGAAAGAGGAGAAGGAGAGGCUGCAGACGGUUAAGUGUCGCUUCUUUGCCGAGUGCCCGCGAUCUGGCACUCGGUAAAGAUUUUUUUAAUUUAAAAAAAUACUUUGCCGAGUGCCUACUGACAGGUACUCGGCAAAGACUGGAUUUAGGGUUUUUGUCGGGUGUCCCACGGCUAUUACUCGGCACAGACGUCUUUGCCGAGUGUCAUCACUAGACACUCGGCAAAGUAUAUUUUUAUUUUUUUAAGUUUCCUUACCAAACUUUUUCUGGUAUGUUCCUACACUAUGUAGACCUACAUGUACCAUUUUGGCACAUUUAUAAAAGUGUUUCCUAUAACUAUUGGAUUUAGUUCGUUUAAUGGAAUUUUCUUCGAUAAUUUAGAUUUGAACUGCAAGUUACUCGAAACUUGGAAAACCGUGUAUGAAAAAAUGAUAUUCAUGCUAUUUAGCACAAGUUAUGACCGAUUUCAAGAGCGGACCAGAAACUUCGAGCACCAAGCUCACUAAACAUGGUCGUGAACUUGCCAUCCAGUUGUUUCAAAAUUGUAUAAGACACAAACAAAGUCAGAAAAUCAUGAAACUUGUCCACAUGUCAUUAUAUCAUAUAUAGAGGCUGUGAUAAAAAUUUGAGAAUGUUUCGAAAAAGUUGUGAGACGGUAUGUGUAUGAACCUAAGAGAAGUACACAUGAAAUCACAGAGUUUCAAUGUACUUCUCUUAGGUUUAUACACAUACUUUCUCACAACUUUCUCGAAACAUUCUCAAAUUUUUAUCACAACCUCUAAAUAUGAUAUCAUGAAAUGUGGACAAGUUUUAUGAUUUUCUGACUUUGUUUGUGUUUUAUACAAUUUUGAAACAGUUGAAUGGCAAGUUCAUGACCAUGUUUAGUGAGCUUGGUUCUCGAAGUUUCCGGUCCGCUCCUGAAAUUGGUCGUAACUUAUGCUAAAUAGCAUGAAUAUCAUUUGUGCAUGCACGAUUUUCCAAGUUUUGAGUGACUUGCAGUUCAAAUCUGAAUUAUCGAAGAAAAUUCCAUUAAACGAACUAAAUCCAAUAGUUAUAGGAAACACUUUUAUAAUUGUGCCAAAAUGGUACAUGUAGGUCUACAUAGUGUAGGAAUAUACCACAAAAAGUUUGGUAAGAAAACUUAAAAAAAUAAAAAUAUACUUUGCCGAGUGUCUAUGGAUGACUCUCGGCAAAGACGUCUGUGACGAGUGUCAGCCGUGGGACACUCGGCAAAGAAGCUUCUUUGCCGAGUGUCAACGCCCGACGCUCGGCAAAAUCUAACGGCCGUCAGUUAUAGACGGCUGCUGACGGCCUUUUGCCGAGGGCCGCCUUCGCCGAGAGUUUAGCACUCGGCAAAGAUAGCUUUGCUGAGUGUAGUUUUUUUCCGUGAGUCCUGCUCUCGGCAAACACGUUCGUUACCGAGAGCUAGACUGUGUCGAGUGCCCGACAAAAAGCACUCGGCCAAGGGCCAAGCACUCGGCAAAGCCACAGAUUCCGGUAGUGUAUAUAUACUCUAAUCGUAGCGUUAGCAUGGGAUAUAUGCCAGUGACAACAACAACAUUAGUAAUAAUAAGAUCCUAAGACAAUUAAAGAAUAUAUAAGUUUUUUUAGUUCUUUAUAUAUUUCUAAUUGGCGUAACCAAUAGUUACGUUUCUUAUGUUAAAAACUAUACACCCUAGAAAUAUCUAUUGGUAUUCCUAAACUUCGCAUGAAUCACUACUACAGAAUGAAAUAUCUAUACCAGUUGAGAAUUGGUCACGGUACCGAAUUUCCAACCGGUACUUGUCAUUUAGAAUUAAAGACCUCAGUUUUUAAUACCGGUUGUAUGAACCCGUACUAAAGUUGAAACUUUGGUACCGGUUCUUGGCAUGAACCGAUACUAAAGAUGUAACUUUUAGUACCGCUUCAUGCCAAGAAUCGGUACUAAAUGUUACAUCUUUAGUACCGGUUAGAACUGUUACUAAAAUAUUAAUGGACUUUUUAUUAUAUGCUUACGCACAUUAAAAUGGUUGUGUACAUUAAUUUAUUUAUAUAUAUACAUAUGUAAAUGUGUAGAUUCAUAUAUACAUGUGUAGAAUCAAUAAUAUAUACAUUAAUAUUCAUGUGUAGAUUCAAAUAUACAAAUGGAUAUUUAUAUUAACAGUAAUACAUACAAAUGCCUAUGAAGUUUCCUAACUUCUAAAAAUAUCUCUAUUUCUAUGUUCUUAAUAUGAAUCUUCUUUAUCUUCUGCAUGUUGAAGAUUUUGUCGAUCAUAAUAGAACUCUCCUUCUUUGGAUACGACAUCUCUAUUUAUAAAAGCAUAUAAGUUGUUAUUGAAUUGCUUCUAUCCUAUCCAUAGUGAAUACUUUUUCCUUCAUCUUUAUUAUCUGUCAUUUGCCAAUAACAUUGAUAAAAAGUGUUAUUGUAUUAAAUUGAAAGCUGGUAUACUUUAUUGAUAUGAAAUUAACAUCAACACUGUAGAAAAUGUUGAUGUACCUCGAUAUUUUUGGCCACUGACUUGUUACCUAUGAAUGUCUGAAUAAAUUCACAAAUGUAGUAACCAUAGAGGUGGUUUCCUUUUUCCUAUAUCAAACACUAAAAUCGAGAAACAAGUAAUGAAUUAUUAUUAGCAAAUAACUUGAGGGAUCGGAAAGCUACAAACGUACAUGAAAGUUUGACCUAAUCUAAAGAGUUUCUUUUAGGCUGACAUGCUUUUUCAUAGCCAACUCAUGCACUGCAUAAUGAAAAUUACAAGUCUUUGGUACAUGCAUGAUUCAAUUAUUUAGAGGUUUAUAGAGUUAGGUUUGAAUGGUAAGAAUUACUCUUUAAGAAGGUAUAUUAUUUCUUUUAAGUCAUCGACUUGCUUCCUCAAGGAGUCAAGGAUAAAUAUAAUACCUUCUUCCAUUAAGAUCACCAAAAGUACCCAUUGAAAGUUGUAGGAAAGUUACAAAAAGGUAGAACAAAUUAGAAAUACACAUUUAGUCUAAAAAGGUAUGGGUACAAAAAGAUAAUGGACACUAACUUAAAAUUAUAUGGAAUUAGUAUACAUUACAUAUAGUGUUGCUUUGUGAAGGAACUUGUGCGGUCUUUGUAGGAUAGCCGACCGAUAUCCCUAAUUGUUAUUUGGUUUAUGUGCACUAGGUCCAUGAAGUCAAUAUUGAAAAUCCCUUCUUUACAACAUCGUUGGAUGUCCAUGCUUUAGAAAACAUAGUAGGUGUAAGAGAACUUCAGUUAGCAUUGAAUAUAUAUUAUUCAGUAGUGGACAAGAGAGAAGGUAAAUACUUAUAGAACUCAGGUGCUGGGUCUAACGCAUUCCACCGGUAUAUAUCAAAUAUAUUGUUAAAAUCGAGCCACAUCACAUCAACAUUGUUGAAGUAGUGGUCUUGUAUAAACACACAAAAGGUGACCCUAUCAGCGGUUGAAUCCUUCAAAUAUCAACUGUCUUGGAAUCUGUUCAAUUGUGUUGUAAGUUCGGAACCUCUUCUAGAGUAUAGGCCGACCUUGCUUGAAUUGCCAUGCAAACUAAUGUGAUGGCAUAUUUUCUUUGUGUAUUUUUUCUUUUCUUUUUCAAGCAUGUGCCCAUAGUUUUGUACCAUCUAGAAUACAAGAUUACCACUUCAGUGAAUUGGCUUGGCACGAUGGUAUACUUGCCCAUUCCAAUGCUUAGCUUUUCUUCUUAAUGGGUGUUUAGCCACAAGAAAUCAACGAUGGGUUGUAUAAACAAUUUUUCUAUAGUGACGUAGAUACAAGCAUCUGUCUCAUCUAAACAAUGGGUGCAGACAUUGAAUCCAUUAUCCUAAUAGAUUUGAAUGUGCAGGCCAAUUGUUGAUGGUUAUGAAUAACAAAGCACAUCAUUAAAAGCCUUCUUGUGCUCGUCCCACAUACAACACCUUUGGACCACAAUUGUAAAAAGCUCAUCCACCAAUGGUUUUAGGUACGCAUCAAUGUUGUUAAUAGAUUGUUUUGGCCCUUCAAUAAGCAGCAGCAUCAUUAUGAACUUUUGCUUUAUACAUAGCCAGGGUAUACAUAUAUAGAGUCACAUGCUGAGGAUAUGACCACUGCCCUACUCGCUGAAAGGGUUCAUGCCAUCGGUGGUUAAACCAAACCUUACAUUUUUUGCAUCCUCUACAAACUCUAAGAAUGUUCUAUUAACUUUACACCAAUGUGAACCAUUACUCUCUUCUUUGUGCAACCACAUUAUCUUGGUGUGCUCUUUGUUACGAAACAAAUGUUUCAAUCGUGGUAUUAUAGGGAAGUACUGUUGGUCACUUGUUUUCAAUUGCUAUGAAUCAAAAACAAGGCAACACACACAUGUUAAACGUUAAGGACCUUCAUCCUUCGAAGCAUUAUCCUCUUUCAGAGAUAAUGACUCUUGUACGAAGGUCAUGAAGAAUGAGUCUUUAUUUUUCAUAAGUAUAAUAUUACAAUGUAACAUUAUAACAAUUACUUAUUUCAUCUCGCAUGCCAGGAUGAUGUUAAGGUAUGUAUUAUAUAUAUUAAUAAAGUGGUACAAAUUAUAUAUUACAUUUGUACCUUCGGCUUGCUCGAAAGAGAGAAUGCGAGUACAACUUUUCAAUCCAACGUGAAUAGUACGGGGUAAUAUUCAUCUAUUUAUAGGCAAGGGACGCAGCCCAAGCAGAAGUACAAUUAUGACCCUGAUAUCUACACAUUGCUCUAAUACAAAUAUCAAGGAUAAACAAGUCUUUUCCUUGCUGGCUUGGUGUCAUGUAUGACCUUCGUGACCAUCUUAAGUCGAAGCUCCAAUUCUUGUCGAAGCUUCGCUACAUUUUAUGCAUGUUUGUUGCAUCUUUGGCACUUAGUUCCUUUGAUUACAAAUAGUUUCUUCAUCCUAAGGACCUUCAGCAUAGAAGGAGACCCCCAAUAGUAGCCCCUUCGUGGUGCUAGGUCGUUUUUUUCAUAACGAGCUUGAUUCGCGAAACACACGAAGGCUUUUGAAUGCCGAAGGUCCAAAAACACCUUCUCAGUUAGUAUGAGCGGCGCGGCAGUAUGCCUUCUUCACAUGCAAGGCUAUAUAAAUAGGUUGGUUGGUAAGAAGUUAUUACAUCAUUCCUUGCUUUUGCACUGUUGUUGUUGGGGGUAUUCUUCUCCGCCGAAGGUCCUCAAGGAAAAAACACCUUCGACAAAAUGAUACAAAGGUUUGCCGAAGUCACCUUCAGCCUUGAUUUAGCUCCUCAAGACGAAGACUCUGUAUAGAGGCAACAAUGCAAGAUGUCGAAGGUCAAUGGCCUCAACCCAGAUCAAGCAAGGAAGAAAAAAGGACCAGAUAGGCCUUAUUGGUUUUAGUUACAUGUAAACAAGAGUUCAGGGGCAUGAAUGUAAUUUUAUCCGGACUGCGUCCCGUGACUAUAAAUAGAUGAAUAAUACCCCCGUACUGUUCACGCUGGAUUGUAAUCACUCUCGCGCCAUUUUCGCUCUCUUACCUUCUGGCAAGCCGAAGGUGUCAAUAUAAUAUGAAUAUUGUUUAUGUUUAUUCAUGUUUAUGGAAUAUAAUAAUAAAUGAAUAGUUGAUACAUAACAAUUAUUAUCUUCAUUUUUAUAUUCCUUCACUUGCUUAUUUGUAUUCAUGUUUAUAUGUUGAAAUGAUGAAGGUGUGUCCUUCAUGACCUUCGUCUGAAGACCAUUAUAUCUGAGAGGAAAUAAUGCUUCGAAGGACGAAGGUCUUUAACUAUUGACAAUUGUGUUGCCUUGUUCUUGAUUUAUAGUAUUCGAGAACAAGUGACCAACAUUGGCGCCCACCUCCGGUGAACUCACUUCCGCAACUGCGACAAUGGCUUCGCAAGGCAACCAAGCUGCGCCACCUUCGACUACGAAGCUGGCGCUCCCAAUCACAGGCGGCUCAAGUUCUGAACCAGCCAACAAGAAACAGAAGAAGGAAGCACAGAGAAGGGUACAACAUGUUGAUGUGCAAGGACCCUUCAUCAGGUCCAAAUGGUCUCACAUACCAAUUACCUUCUCUCAGGAAGACCUUCAGCUUUAAGAUUAUCCUCACAACGAUGCAAUGGUCAUAUCUUGUGUCAUCAAGGGAUUUUUGGUCCAUAAUGUCCUGGUGGUCACAGGCAAUGCAGCGAACAUCAUUUUCAUGAAGGCUUUCAAGCAAAUGCAAGAGCCGGAUGACAAGAUACAUGAUGCAACACCCCCCUUUGUGGUUUCGGAGGAAGACAGAUUGUAGCGCUCGGCAAGAUAACCAUGUCAGUUACCUUCGGCUACGUUCACCACACAAGGACAGAACAGGUUGUCUUCGACAUUGUUGAUAUGGAAUAUCCAUAGAAUGCAAUCAUUGGUCGAGGGACACUCAAUGCCUUCGAAUCAAUACUUCAUCCAGCAUAUCUUUGCAUGAAGAUACAUUCGGAACAAGGCCCCAUUGUUGUACAUGAGAGUCAAGAAGCUGCUAGGAGAGCCGAAGUAAGUUGGACGGAUUCGAAGGCCAUCCAUAAUAUAGAUGAGGCCGAAGCUCAUCAGCAAUAUAAGCAUAAAAGAGAAAAGGCUGCUUCGGCAGAUCAACCAAAGUCCAUGCUUUUGUGUGAAGACAUAGCUGAGCAAAAGGUGCUAUUGGGAUCUCAAUUAUCUGAUGAGCAAGAGAAGACCUUGCUAAGAUUUUUGUUUAAUAAUAAAGAUGUUUUUGCUUGGUCAGCUAAUGAUAUCUGUGGUGUCAAUAGAGAUAUUAUUGAGCACUCGCUCAACGUAGACCCGUCCUUCAGACCAAGAAAACAGAGGCUUCGGAAAAUGUCCGAUGAUAAAGCCGAAGGUGCACGAAACGAAGUGAAAAGACUUCUAAGUGCCGGCAUUAUCAGAGAAGUGACAUACCCAGAGUGGCUGGCCAAUACCGUCAUGGUAAAGAAAGCAAACAGAAAAUGGAGAAUGUGUAUUGACUUUACAGAUCUCAAUAAGGCAUGCACGAAGGAUGAAUUCCCACUUCCAAGAAUAUAUUCCCUUUGCAAGUAUCUUCAUCCUCUGCUGAAGCUAGAGUUAUUGCUUCAUCGCCAAAUAGAAGUUUAAACGGAGUGAAACCCGUUGAUCUUGAAACCACAUUAUUGUGAUUCCACACCAGCUUUACUAAUUCAUCUGGACACUUUCUCUUUGGCAGAUUAAAGAUUGACCUCAUUAUUCCUUUGAUAAUGAUUCCAUUUGAUCGCUCUACUAAGUCGUUGGACUCUGGAUGUCUUACCAAUGCGAAAUGUAUCUUUGUUCUAAUUUGAUCACAGAAAGUUUUAAAUCUUCGGAGCGAAACUGUGCUCCAUUAUCAACUGUGAUGGCCUUCGGCACCCCAAACCGGCAGAUGAUAUUUUUCCAGAAAAGUUUCUAGAUUGUGGCUGAUGUUAUUAUAGCUAGUGGUUUAGCUUCGAUCCAUUUUGAGAAAUACUCCACUGCUACUACAACAUAUCUCAUAUUUCCUUGGGCUGGUGGAAGUGGUCCUAAUAAAUCUAAUCCCCAUCUCUGUAAUGGCUAAGUGGGCUGAAUUAGUUGUGUUAGAGAUGAAGGUUGCUUUUGAUCCCUGGCACACUCCUGACAAUUCUCACAUUUUUGCACUAGGUCUGCUGCAUCCAAAGCAGCCUUCGGCUAAUAGAAACCUUGUCUAAAUACCUUGCCUAAGAGUGGCCUGAAUCCAAUAUGUGCUUCACAUAUUCCUGAUUGUAUUUCUUUCAUCAACUCUUGACCUGCGACUUUGGAUAAACAUUUCAGCAAUGGGGAGCAGACCCCUUGUUUAAAAAA